UACGGGGGGGGCAAGCGUUGUUCGGAAUUACUGGGCGUAAAGGGCUCGUAGGUGGCCAACUAAGUCAUACGUGAAAUCCCUCGGCUUAACCGGGGAACUGCGUCUGAUACUGGUUGGCUUGAGUUUGGGAGAGGGACGCGGAAUUCCAGGUGUAGCGGUGAAAUGCGUAGAUAUCUGGAGGAACACCGGUGGCGAAGGCGGCGUCCUGGACCAAUACUGACACUGAGGAGCGAAAGCCAGGGGAGCAAACAGG
rnacentral:rRNA from 1 species